rnacentral:rRNA from 1 species
UAGGGAAUCUUCCGCAAUGGACGCAAGUCUGACGGAGCAACGCCGCGUGAGUGAAGAAGGAUUUCGGUUCGUAAAACUCUGUUGUUAGAGAAGAACAGCGCAUAGAGUAACUGUUAUGCGUGUGACGGUAUCUAACCAGAAAGCCACGGCUAACUACGUUCCAGCAGCCGCGGUAAUACGUAGGUGGCAAGCGUUGCCCGGAUUUAUUGGGCGUAAAGCGAGCGCAGGCGGUUAGAAAAGUCUGAAGUGAAAGGCAGUGGCUCAACCAUUGUAGGCUUUGGAAACUGUUUAACUUGAGUGCAGAAGGGGAGAGUGGAAUUCCAUGUGUAGCGGGGAACUGCGUAGAUAUAUGGAGGAACGCCGGUGGCGAAAGCGGCUCUCUGGUCUGUAACUGACACUGAGGCUCGAAAGCGUCGGGAGCGAACAGG